UCUUACGGGAGGAAGCAGUGGGGAAUUUUGCACAAUGGGGCAAACCUUAUGCAACCAUGCGGCGUGUAUGAAGAAGCCUUCCGGGUUGUAAAGUACUUUCAGCAGUGAGGAAGGUGGGUAUGUUAAUAGCAUAUUCAUUUGACGUUAGCUGCAGAAGAAGCACCGGCUAAUUCCGUGCCAGCAGCCGCGGUAAUACGGAGGGUGCGAGCGUUAAUCGGAAUUACUGGGCGUAAAGCGCAUGCAGGUGGUUUGUUAAGUCAGAUGUGAAAGCCCGGGGCUCAACCUCGGAAUUGCAUUUGAAACUGACAAACUAGAGUACUGUAGAGGGGGGUAGAAUUUCAGGUGUAGCGGUGAAAUGCGUAGAGAUCUGAAGGAAUACCGGUGGCGAAGGCGGCCCCCUGGACAGAUACUGACACUCAGAUGCGAAAGCGUGGGGAGCAAACAGGAUUAGAUACCCUGGUAGUCCACGCCGUAAACGAUGUCUACUUGGAGGUUGUGGCCUUGAGCCGUGGCUUUCGGAGCUAACGCGUUAAGUAGACCGCCUGGGGAGUACGGUCGCAAGAUUAAAACUCAAAUGAAUUGACGGGGGCCCGCACAAGCGGUGGAGCAUGUGGUUUAAUUCGAUGCAACGCGAAGAACCUUACCUACUCUUGACAUCUACAGAAGCCAGCGGAGACGCAGGUGUGCCUUCGGGAACUGUAAGACAGGUGCUGCAUGGCUGUCGUCAGCUCGUGUUGUGAAAUGUUGGGUUAAGUCCCGCAACGAGCGCAAUCCUUAUCCUUGUUUGCCAGCACUUCGGGUGGGAACUCCAGGGAGACUGCCGGUGAUAAACCGGAGGAAGGUGGGGACGACGUCAAGUCAUCAUGGCCCUUACGAGUAGGGCUACACACGUGCUACAAUGGCGCAUACAGAGGGCGGCCAACUUGCGAAAGUGAGCGAAUCCCAAAAAGUGCGUCGUAGUCCGGAUUGGAGUCUGCAACUCGACUCCAUGAAGUCGGAAUCGCUAGUAAUCGUGGAUCAGAAUGCCACGGUGAAUACGUUCCCGGGCCUUGUACACACCGCCCGUCACACCAUGGGAGUGGGCUGCAAAAGAAGUGGGUAGUUUAACCUUCGGGAGGACGCUCACCACUUUGUGGUUCAUGACUGGGGUGAAGUCGUAACAAGGUAACCG
rnacentral:rRNA from 1 species